GGACGAACGCUGGCGGCGUGCUUAACACAUGCAAGUCGAACGGAAAGGCCCUGCUUUUGUGGGGUGCUCGAGUGGCGAACGGGUGAGUAACACGUGAGUAACCUGCCCUUGACUUUGGGAUAACUUCAGGAAACUGGGGCUAAUACCGGAUAGGAGCUCCUGCUGCAUGGUGGGGGUUGGAAAGUUUCGGCGGUUGGGGAUGGACUCGCGGCUUAUCAGCUUGUUGGUGGGGUAGUGGCUUACCGAGGCUUUGACGGGUAGCCGGCCUGAGAGGGUGACCGGCCACAUUGGGACUGAGAUACGGCCCAGACUCCUACGGGAGGCAGCAGUGGGGAAUAUUGCACAAUGGGCGGAAGCCUGAUGCAGCAACGCCGCGUGCGGGAUGACGGCCUUCGGGUUGUAAACCGCUUUCGCCUGUGACGAAGCGUGAGUGACGGUAAUGGGUAAAGAAGCACCGGCUAACUACGUG
rnacentral:rRNA from 1 species